rnacentral:rRNA from 1 species
AACGAACGCUGGCGGCGUGCCUAACACAUGCAAGUCGAACGGGAAUACCCGCAAGGGUGAGUACAGUGGCGCACGGGUGCGUAACACGUGGGUAAUCUGCCCAGAAGCCCGGAAUAACUCCCCGAAAGGGGUGCUAAUGCCGGAUGAGACCACGGGGACUUCGGUUCCUGGGGGAAAAGGUGGCCUCUGUAUACAAGCUAUCACUUCUGGAUGAGCCCGCGGCCCAUCAGCUAGUUGGCGGGGUAAUGGCCCACCAAGGCUACGACGGGUAGCUGGUCUGAGAGGACGAUCAGCCACACUGGAACGGAGACACGGUCCAGACUCCUACGGGAGGCAGCAGUGGGGAAUCUUGCGCAAUGGGCGAAAGCCUGACGCAGCAACGCCGCGUGUGUGAUGAAGGUCUUCGGAUCGUAAAGCACUGUCGGGAGGGACGAAUAAGGGCCGGGUGAACAAUCCGGUUCGACGACGGUACCUCCAGAGGAAGCACCGGCUAACUCUGUGCCAGCCGCCGCAGUAACAC